AUUGAACGCUGGCGGCAGACUUAACACAUGCAAGUCGAGCGAGCGGCGGACGGGUGAGUAAUGUAUGGGGACUGCCCGAUAGAGGGGGGUAACUACUGGAAACGGUAGCUCAUACCGCACACUAUCUGAUAACCACUAUGGGAUUAGCUAGUAGGUGAGGUAAUGGCGCACCUAGGCGACGAUCCCUAGCUGGUCUGAGAGGAUGAUCAGCCACACUGGGACUGAGACACGGCCCAGACGCCUACGGAGGCAGCAGUGGGGAAUAUUGCACAAUGGGCGCAAGCCUGAUGCAGCCAUGCCGCGUGUAUGAAGAAGGCCCUAGGGUUGUAAAGUACUUUCAGUCGGGAGGCGUUACCGACAGAAGAAGCACCGGCUAACUCUGUGCCAGCAGCCGCGGUAAUUC
rnacentral:rRNA from 1 species